GAUAAUUCCGCGGUCACACUGCUCGUCUCUCGUAGUUAUUUCUUUUACAACAAAAAUUUUACUAUAAUUAUUAUGGUGCAAAUACGCGCACAAUAAACGCAACCCCCCGAUGGGGCUGAAUAUUAAGUGCAAUCCCCCCAAAAAAUAUAAUAAUUCAUAUACGUAAACGACAAAACAAAAAGGAAGAUGUGAGAAAACGGCGCGUGUGAAAUUUUUUCAACGAAGAGAAGCAGCAGCAACAAAAAGCAGAGGAAAAAUACAACUACAAAAUUCCCCACACACAAAGUAGGCCAACAACAACAGCAAAGCAAAGCAAAAGGCAAACGCAAAAGCAAACGGCAACAGCAACACAAGGCAAGAAAAGAAACCUUGUAAUUGUGUCAAUAAAUGUGAUUUUUCGUAAAUUGUGUUUGAUUCCUUUUUGGAAUGUGAAAUAUUUGAUUUACAAAAUAUUCCAAAAAGUGUAAGAGUGUGCGUGUUCGUGUGUGUUUGUGUCUGUGGUGCGGCGCGUCUCUUCGAGACAAGUGAAAUUUUCUUUGUUUCCCAGGGGCACGAGUGUGGUGUGCGAGGGAGGAGUAAAGAAAUGAAGUUGCCUUGAAACUGAAUAUGCUCCUCCCCCUCUAGACUCCCCCCUGAACCGAAUAUGAUGUGUCUGCCUGUGUUGAAAUAUCUGUACGUACGUGUGCGUGAGUGUCUGUGUGGCAAUGAACCGUUCCAUUAUAAGCGUUUUUUGUUGUUUUUGCUGUUUGCUUUGCAUUUAUGUGUACAAAAUAUGUUUUACUACAAAAAUUCAAGUGCUUAACGAAUGUUCAAGGAAAAUGUGCAACAAGAUGACGCCGUUAGGAAGCAGGACCAGCAACAACAAUAAAAUUAAGGCUGUUGGACAGGUUUCCCACGGCUAAAAAAUAAAACGAGGAAAAGAAGGAGUAGGUAGGAGAAAAAGAAAGAGAAGCAAUGCGUGCCCAGCCGCGAAAGCAAAGUGAAAUUCAUGACAAAAGCAGCAACAACAGAAGCAACAUAGCGGCUAACCGAAACCGUUAUUCAACAAUUUCUUGAAUCAAAAAAGAAAAAAGCGUCCAACAACAACAAAGUACAAGUGAAAGAAGCCACCAAAUACUGGUUUUUUAAACAACGAAAAAGAAAAAAAGAAAGAGGGAGAGAGAAAAAGUUGUUGCACGAGAAAUCUCUCCAUGUGUGCUUGGAGAAAAGUAAAGUAAAGUGAAAAGCAAUGCUAAAAGGAAUUACAACAACUAAAAGGCAAAGCUUAUGUUGAUUGGUGUUACACUAAAUAACUGUUAAAGAAGAAAAGAAAUAACUCAAACAACAAAAAGGGAAGGAGUGAAGGCCCCCCACGUGGGCGGGAUUGGCGAAGCAAAUAUUCAACUUUAAAACAUUAGCCUUUUUCAAGGGCUCCCCCACACACUGGAGGU
rnacentral:lncRNA from 1 species